rnacentral:siRNA from 1 species
UUGCUUUUCGGACUGUUUUC